UCGGGGAUGGUGUAAUUGGCAACACAAUGGGUUCUGGUCCCAUCGUUGAGGGUUCAAGUCCUUCUCCCCGAGC
rnacentral:tRNA from 1 species